CCCAGGCAAUUAUUCUCAAAGUUAUAUUGAAUACCCCAGCUUCAUUGUAUUGUACCAGUCGAUCAGGAACCGCAAAGAAGGUCUCUGUCUUUGUUUAAAGGAUUGUCUUAAAGACAUGUGCUGGACAACCCAGAAAGCCUGAAAGACCAUACAUCUGGACAAUUUUGUAGCGUUAAGUUCAGAAUUCAGGUGGAAGUGUCUUGACAAGGACAAAUUUGUUUCCUCGAGGGGCUCUGCACUUGCAUGGACUCACCCUGUUCAAAAGACAUGCAUGAAAAACUAGCGGCAGACAUCUGUCUACUACAGCAAGCGCUUUGCAUUUCUGCACAAAAUCAUCCUGAUGAUCUAAACCUAGAUCCUCUCACACAGAGUUCACCCACUGAUACAGUCAGUAUUUGCUGAUUAAUCUUUUGUUUGCAACAUCACUAAAGCUUUCUUCCUGCUGUGGGGUUUUUGCCUUCUCCAUUGUUAUGUGAAAUCUGUCUUUGCUGGACAUGUAUUAAAUCAUGGUAAAUACACAUUCAUAUAUUUUCAGUGGUUUUUUUUCAUCUGUGCAUUUUGCAUUUAUUCCUUGGCAAAGGAAAUGCUCUGUCAUCAAGCUCUACAAAUGUAUUUUCUGUAUAAUUCCAUUUUAAUGUGUGUGAGUGUACUCAGAAUGUUCAUUCUUCCUAUAGUGCUGUCUUAUGUUUAAUUCCCAUCAACUUUCAAGGGAGUUCACUAUGCAGCUUGCAGACUUGUCAAACU